GACGAACGCUGGCGGCGUGCUUAACACAUGCAAGUCGAACGGUGAAGCGCCUUCCUUUUUGGUGGGUGGGGAGGAGUGGCGAACGGUUGAGUAACACGUGAGUAACCUGCCCCCUUCUUCUGGAUAACCGCAUGAAAGUGUGUCUAAUACGGGAUAUUCUGGUUCUGUCGCAUGAUGGGUCUGGUUAGGAUUUUGUUUCGGUGGGGGAUGGUCGCGCGGCCUGUCAGCGUGUUGGUGGGGUGAUGGCCUACCAAGGCGGUGGCGGGUGGCCGGCCUGAGAGGGUGUGCGGCAACGCGCGGACUGAGACAGGAGGCAGAAGCGGGGAGUAGUGAGCAAUGGGGGAAAGUGUGAUGCAGCGGCGAGGCUGAAGGGACGGAGCCGUUCGGGUGGUGAACCUCUUCCGCUAGUGAAGCCCGCCUGCCUCGUUUGUGGCUGGGUUGACGGUAGCUGGAUAAGAAGCGCCGGCUAACUACGUG
rnacentral:rRNA from 1 species